AUAGAUCCCACAACACAAGAAGCAGCAAGUUCAAAAGAAAGUAAAACCACCUAUUAAACCCUUGUCCAACAAUACCACUCAUUAAGACACGUGAACAACAUUUAACAGGAUUCAUCUGUGCUAGCUGGCUUUCAAUACAUUUCAGUAACGGGACGGAUUAAAAAUAAAAUAAAAUCACGUGUUGCUACUCUAUCAGCUCUCAUUACCCAAUUAAAAGAGCAGCAAAAGAGAGAUGUAUCACAAUAUGUGAAAAGCUAAUUAUAUUA